CGCCGCUCCGCCAGCAGCGCGGCCUCCCGGUUCCCAGCCUCGCGGCCUGGGGGGCCCCCCACCCAGCGGAGUCGCUGACCCCACUCCUCUCCCGCUGCCCCCAGCUGCGCUCGGGCCGCUGCAGCCUCUGCGCACCCCCACCCGCUUCCUGCCCCGUCCGCGAGGCCGCCCUGGAUCGCACCCGGUUCCUUCCUUCCUUCGUUCUUUCAGGCAACUCGCAUUCCUCGAGCGCCUGCGACGUGCCCUGCACAGGGCCUUCCCGGCCUUCCGAGUGUGGCCCCAGGCCCGCUGGGCUCCUCCGGGAAGCCUCUGCCCUCUCGAAGUCCUUCCCCACCUCCGCCCCUCUGUUCCAUGAGCUGUUUUGAAACUUCAUGCAAACCGGUGGGUGCUGCAGAAUUGGCCUCUUCCAGCCACAGCAGUAAUCCUGUUACGUUCUCUCUGUGAGUCUGGGAAACAUACAGACACUGGUUGAAACUUCAGCUUUGUCAUUUACCAGCUGUGCUAUCACAGGCUGGUCUGAAACUCCUGGGCUCAAGCAGUUCUCCCACAUUGGCUUCCCAAAGUGCUGGGAUUACAGGUCUGAACCACCGAACCGGGCCACAGAGUGGCAAUGUGGUUGGCAUGACCCAGUCACAGCACCCCGGGACUCUUGUCCAGCAUUGGCGCUCUAUAUGCAGAGCCCUUUCACUCAGCCUGGCAGCAUCUGAUCAGCGUCGAAGCCCAGUGGCUUGAGGAAUAAAUAUAAACAGUGCAGAGACUAAAAGCAGAGCUCUGGUCCAGCACAUCUACUCCCAAGCUCUGCCACCCUGGACAAGCUCCUUCCCCUCUCUGAGCCUCAGUCUCCUCCCUGUAAUACUGUAAGAACCCUGUCCACAGUUGUGUGCCGAUAUACUGAAUGUAAAGCACCUAAAAGCCUGCCAGGACGUGGCAGGCACUCAAGAAGCAUUACUAGAUUCAUUUCACACAUGGAGAAACUGAGUCCCAGAGUGGGAAAGUGACUCAGGCAAAGAUUCCCUCACAGAACUGGGGAUAAAAAUCCAGAUCUUCAAGCUCCCAGUCAGUGCCUAAUUACUACUUUCUCAUUCUUGGAAUUUGUAAUUAUUUCAUGACAAGUGUGCUUUUGGCUGCUGGAGGGACAGAGCUUCAGAGGUUGUGAGCCUCCCCUGGCUCAGCCUGACCCAGAACCAGCUCACUCAUGAAACUACCCUCUCUUGAAGAGAAUAGGAGUUGUGGGGAGGAAGAACAUAACCCAGAGGCCAGAGAACGUGGAGGCCAGGGUUGGUGUAACUGUGUAGGUAAGAGCAGCAGCUUCGUGAUCAGCCAGACCUGCAUUUAAAUCCUUCUCUGCCACUUCUUAGCUGUGUGACCAGCUACAUGACACCACCUCCCUGAGCCUCAGGUUUUCAUCUGUAAACUUUCAAUGCUACCUCUCCCAUAGGGUUGUUGUAGGAAUUAAAUAAGACAACAGAGGUAGAGUACCUGCUCCCAACUGGCAGCCCUUAUAAUUUCAUGAAGAGGAAGCAAAAGGGGAGCCAGCUACCUUUUUUUUUUUUUUUUUGAGACAGAGCCUCUUUCUGUCACUCAGGCUGGAGGGUGGUAGUGUGAUCUCGGCUUGCUGCAACCUCUGCCUCCUGGGUUCCAGCGAUUCUUGUGCUUCAGCCUCCUGAAUAGCUGGGAUUACAGGUGGACACCACCAUGCCAGGCUAAUUUUUGUAUUUUUAGUAGAGACGGGGUCCCAAAGUGCUGGGAUUAUGGGUGUGAGCCACCGUGCCUGGCCGGAGCCAGCUACUUCUUAUCCUCAUUCUUGUGUAUAAAUCUUGUUGUAAACUUUUAAACAAUUUUUUGUUUUAUUUUUAUUGUUUAUAUUUGAGACAGGGUCUCUCUCUGUCAUCCAGGCUAGAAUGCAGUGGCAUGAUCACAACUCACUGUGACCUCGGCCUUCCAGGCUCAAGUGAUCCUCCCACCUCAGCCUCCCAAGUAGCUGGGACUACAGGUACCCAUCAUCACACCUGGCUAAUUUUUAUAUUUUUAAUGGAGACAAGGUUUUGCCAUAUUGCCCAGGCUGGUCUCUAACUCCUGGGCUGAAGCAAUCCACUUGCCUUGGCCUCCCAAAGUGCUAGGAUUACAGGUAUGAGCCACCUCACCCGUCCUUGUAAACUUUUUUUUUUUUUGAGGUGGUGUCUUGCUCUGUCGUCCAGGCUGAAGUGCAGUGGCGCGAUCUCGGCUCACUGCAACCUCCACCUCUGAGGUUCAAGCAAUUCUCCUGCCUCAGCCUCCCAAGUAGCUGGGAUUACAGGCACCCAUCACCAUGAUUUGUAUUUUUAGUAGAGAUGGGGUUUUGUAUUUUUAAUAGAGACAGGGUUUCUCCAUGUUGUCCAGGCUGGUCUUGAACUCCUGACCUCAAGUGAUCCACCCACCUUGGUCUCCCAAAGUGCUGGGAUUACAGGAGUAUGAGCCACUGCGCCUGACCCUUGUUACAAACUUUUAAUUGAACAAACAAUGGAUAAUAGAGAUGUUCUAAGAUUUGUCUAAUGAAAUGCUUUGUGUUCCCAGGCUCUUCCACAUACUAGCUGUGUGAACUUGGACAAGUGACUUAACUUCUCUUCUCCGUGUCUGCUAACAGUCCCUACACAGAUGGUUGUUGUGAGGCUUAGUUACCAUACAAAAUUCUUAGAUUAGUGCCUGGCACAUAAUAAUAACCACAGCCCCCAAAUGCUAGUUGUCAUUCAUUAUCUUAACAUACCAUGUGAAGGUUGUGUUCUCUUACAUUCUAUAGCCCUCUGUGUUUUAAUAUAAAAUUGUGAUGUCUCUCUUUCUUUUAUUUGUAUUUUUUGAGUAAAACGGACAUUUCAGAAAGAUGUACCAGAUUUUUAUCACAUGGCUUUGUGAGACCCGACAGCCAGCCAACAUCACACACAGUCACAUGUGUGCAUGCAUGAGCACACAUGCAUGCAGACACACACACUUUGAGAAGGCCAUGCUACGCCGGGCUGCUUCCCAAAUGGGCUGAAACAAGUCCUCUUGCCCUGAAGAACCGCCUGUCCCCUCUCCCGCCCACUCAUCGCGCUCCGUGGAGUGAGGCAGGAAAGGGUGAUUGGCUCACAGCAGCAGCAUAGCUCUUAGUAAACCUGACUUGGGAGAAAGGCCUGGCUCCAGCUCCUAGCCCAAGUGUCAGAGCCUGGGUCCCAGCACUGGCUCGAUGCCCUCUUUUGCUGUGCAACCCUGGCCAUGUAACUUCACCUCUCUGAGCCCCAGCUUUGUCAUUUGUGAAAGGGAGCUAACUGUUCCUACCUCUCAGGGUUAUGAGGAUUUGACAGACACAUGGAAAGUGCCUGGCACUUCGUUGUUGCUCCAUAAAUGAGAGCUCUCAAAAGUCUGGCUCAUUUUUUAGCUCAGUAAAAGCUAUCUUUCAUAGUCUUUAAUAAAAUGGGGCUGGCCGGGCGUGGUGGCUCACGCCUGUAAUCCCAGCACUUUGGGAGGCUGAGGUGGGUGGAUCACGAGGUCAGGAGAUCGAGACCAUCCUGGAUAACAUGGUGAAACCCCAUCUCUACUAAAAAAAAUACAAAAAAAUUAGCCGGGUGUGGUGGCAGGCGCCUGUAGUCCCAGCUACUCAGGAAGCUGAAGCAGGAGAAUGGCGUGAGCCCAGGAGGCG
rnacentral:lncRNA from 10 species